GACAGAGGCCCCAAGCGUUAGGCGGAAUCACUGGGCUUAAAGCGUGUGUAGGCGGAUCGUUAAGUGUCUUGUGAAAUCCCACGGCUCACCCGUGGAACUGCUGGGCAUACUGGCGAUCUUGGGCCAACUAGGGGCAGUCGGAACAAGCGGUGGAGCGGUGAAAUGCGUAGAUGAUCGCUUGGAACGCCAACGGUGAAAACAGGUUGCUGGGGGUGUGCUGACGCUGAGACACGAAAGCCAGGGGAGCAAACGGG
rnacentral:rRNA from 1 species